CGGGGUGUGGGGGGCGGCGGGCCGGAGGGGCGAGGGCGGGCCAGGGGGCGCACACGGGGGUUGGCGCGGAAGACAGGACCCUCAGCCUCGAGGGGUGGAAGAGUAAACUGUUCCUGUUUCUCCAUCUUGACAGGAAGCAGAAGUUCUCCUUAGCUGAUUUUUCUUCUUGCCUUAUACUGGGUUCUUUAACACCAGAACAAAAAUAAAUAAAUAAAAGAAUCUUCCAGAAAUUCAUGAAGAGACUUCAGGUCAGGAAAGCCUGAACUUUCUCAUCCAACACCCGUUCAAGUCGGAGGAUGCUGAUUAAUUCAUGAUGGAAAGGUAUCAAUUUCACAGCCCAGACCUCUACAUUCUUGAAAUGCUCUUCUCAUGGGAGACAUUAAAUAAGCUUUGAAUUAACUGACCUUGUAUUGAAGACAGCGUAACCCCCAAGAGGAAAGGAGCUUGGAGCCCUGAAUCAGAGUAGAAGACAGGCUGAAUGAAUACCAGCCUUGGACUGUUGUGUGAAUGAAAAACAAGUUUUGAGAUUUGUGUGGUUUAUUUAUUAUAGUUACUGUUAUUAUUAAAGUUUUUCACUGCUUUA
rnacentral:lncRNA from 1 species